GUUGAAACCAAGGCACAGGAGAUGUUUAUACAAAGAAUUGUUACUACAGAGAGUCUCCAGCCACCUGCUUUUAACCUAUGAUUGACAGCCCUGCCAAUAGCCCUCUUUGUUCAAGACUUGUGACUACACAGAUACGGCUGGCAAUGACUGGAAUAUGGCCUUAGAUGACUCCAUACAUCUCUCCAUUCUCAUCAGCAAACUUACAACAAGUAAAUGGAAAAGGAGCUUAAAAUACACCAAGAUGGAAAAAGUCAAAGAUAAACCCAACAAGCUAUCAGCAAGCUACACUUACAGUAAUAGAUGAAAGAAGCUAUCACCAAUGAAGGCAUCUGUUGGGAAAUAGACAAUACUUUCUCUACAGAGACAGAAGUAAAAGGAGCAGGAGGGCAGAAAAUCAGUGACAGAUGGAUGGGGAGCCAGGUGUCCGAAUAGAGCAGCUUAUGGUUAAUUGGCAAUAGCAAUGGUUUCCACAUCUAAAAGCCCUUCAUCUGUUCCUGGAAUAGCUAUUUUUCCAGUGGAGACAUCAACAUAUCUGGCACAGGCAUAGAGGAAAAAUUACUCAGCAGAUGAUGACCCCAUAUACAGUAUUUCCAGGAGCCUUCUGAAGCAGAAAGUGGAAGUAGCCAAACUACUGAAAAUGCAAACAAUCUGUAAUAUUUAUCAGUUACAUUCAAAAUACCUGAAAAGUCUAUUGAAUUGUUGUAAAAAAAAAUACACACACUUUUUUUCCAUUAGGUAUUUAACAGAUACAAAUGAGUGAAGACAUGGUUGGCAUCCUUAGAAUCCAGUCCUCAGUGUGUUUCUGUAUUGCUAAAUUAAAUUUUAAAAAUAAACAU